CUAACCCAAGGCCUGUCUUGGCCUCCCAGAGUGCUGGAUUACAGGUACCUAUGGCCUACUCCCACUUUCUUACUAUCAAAGCCAGCAAUCUCAGCUGAGAGCCUUAUUGGGGACAUGCUCUCCAGAACUGACAGCUCCCAAACAAAAGGAAACUGCAAAAAGAAGACCGAAGUUCUCAAGAUAGGGAAUCCUAGAAAGAUAAGUGCUUCCAGCCCUCACCUUACUCUGCCUCACCUGUGUCUUGCUUUGAAUUGCUUUGGGCAUAAAAUUGACUUAUCAAAGGAGCAGACAGGGACCACUGCAUCAAACAAGAAUCACUUGGGAAGUCCCCCCAACAUUUUGUUAUGAAAAGUUUCAGACCUAUAGCAAAGUUGAAAGAAUUUUAUCCACCCCCAUUUUCUUUUUCAUGCUUUAUCACUUAUCUAUCAAUUUGCCCCUCCUUCUUUUUUGAUACAUUUCAAAGUAAAUGGCACUCAUCAGUGCACUUUGGUAGGGGAUUUUUUUAAAUUGCUCAUAUCAGCAAUCCAUAUUCAGGUCCCUGAAUCACUAGCCAGGGGAUCUGCAUUUUAAAUAAUUAUUAACCCCACUUUGCAAGUGAGAAAACAGGACAGAGAGGUGAUAGGACCUGCACUACAAAAGCUGCCUAGGAGUUGAACUCCUCUCAGUCUCUUGGUCCAGAACUGCCUGGGUAGGAGGAGUUCAGGGCACCUCAGCUUAGUGACUAUGUCUUGGAAUUCCCCCUGCUCUCUUGCUUAGAGUAUGGGACUUUGGCCAGACUCAGGCUUAGAGCCUGUGUUCCGUCUUCCUGGUCUAAAUGUUCCUUGAGGAGAGGGGCUGUGUGUAAGACUUUGCUUGUAGCCCUUGCACCAAGAAUUGUUGAACCUCUUGAAAUCUGUAACGUGGAGAUAACAAUGAUUUUCAACUCAUGGGUUUAAUGAGGUCAUUCAUAGAAAUGUACAAGUGCUAAAAAGAAGUAGCUUUGUUAUGAUAUUCAUUAAUAAGUAUAGCCUUUGUAAAUCUCAGUCUAUAAACUCAGGCAAGCAUGAAAAUGUAACUGCAUUUUUUCCCUAUAACCAAACUCAGUUUUAUAUUGAGCACCUGUUUUACCUUAGAACCCUCAAAAAACACCCUGAGAUGAAGAUUCAUGUACAAGUGACUUAUAAGGAAGUGGCCCCAGGAAAAUCUGAUCAAGGAAUAGGUGACUGAGAGCUCAAGGGAUGGAGGCAAGCAAGGUCUCAUGGAGGAUAAGCUUUGCUCAGCCCUGCAGGGAGCUGGAGACAGUGAUGGUUACCCUCAGAGUCUUUCAGAUCAGGGGGCAUGGAAGCUGGAAUAUUUGUAUAUCCCUCCCACAUACUAUCAGGCAUUAGUUAAGGGUUGUCCUGGGGGAGUGAAUACCUGGGCACUCUAGGUUCUCUAGGCAAUUAAGCCUAAGGGGUUCUAGUAGCUUGAGGGUGGUCCUCCCACCACGAGAUUUAAGUGCUGGCCACGCAGAGUCAAAGCACAUAGGAAGACUGGGUGGAUGAAAAUGAUAAGGUGUCUGAGGGAUGUACGUGGAACACUAGUAACAUCUGCUGCAGAGCCCAUUCUGCUACAGCAGAAAUCUAGUCCACUUGGGUUCCCUGGAGAGCAUACCUUGUACCAAAGCAUGGCAGUGAGAUGCAGAUCGAGUCCUUCCUUUCUAGUCUGUUUGUUCUGGCAACAGCUGCAACAUCUUUGACCUGCCUGGCCUUUGUAUGUCUACCCAUCUAGGUCAUUGCUGAAUGAGUCUGCAUUUCUGACCCAAAUGACCUCUCAGCCCCCAGCCUGGCCUGUAAGAGCCCUUCUACUGCUAUCACACCAUUCUGAGAUUUAGGAAACCCCAUUCACAGGACCCACCUGGACACCUGGAUUAUUCUUCUGCUCCCACACCAUGCUAC
rnacentral:lncRNA from 1 species